CACACCGCCCGUCACACCAUGGGAGUCAGUUGCUCCAGAAGUGGCUCGCCCAACCGCAAGGAGGGCAGUCCCCAAGGAGUGGCUGGUAACUGGGGUG
rnacentral:rRNA from 1 species